GUGGCAUACCGUGUGGGUUGCAUUAACCAGUAAUUUAAUGUGACUAUAAGGCUGCCACAAACAUAGAAGUGGUUCCUGCCGACAGGACCUGUCCAGAUAUUGGGCUUCCUGUGCGAUGGUUCCAGACAGA